ACCAACUAUGAGGACACAUGGUUGACAGUGUUGUUCUAAAAAGACUAAUUAUGAAUUCACUAAGUACAAAAAAAACUCCAGGAUAUAUUUGCCUUAAUAUCAUUCUGAAACAUUUCUAAAUUUAAAUUUCUAUGUAUACAUAUUUUAUUGCCUCUUCAUCUAAAUAAUUUUAACACUUAAAAACUAAACAUACCUCUUUUCUUUUCUCAUUCAUGUUUUUUCUGAAUAACCAUAUAUAACAGUCUUAAAACCAGUAAAUUGGGUGGAGGUCACCAUGGGGUAUCAGUAAGAAGCUGUAGUCUGUGAUUGGUCAGAAAAGGUGGAAAUGGAAUGUGAAAGUAGUCAACAAAAAUGUAGCCCUUUCCCUGAAGAGGCAUUGGCAUGAGAGUUUACAAAGGGAGAGGGAUAAAGCUUCCAGGACAGGAGUUAAGUAACAUUCUACUUUUCUCUCUCUGGCCUGUGGGGAAGGAAAGUCCAAAAUGGAAUCUCUGCCUCUUCAGCUGUGACAACAGCAAGCCCAGGAGUGAGAAAAGUCAGCCACAAAUGUCCUCUACCCUCAUCACAGGGUCUGCCCAUAGUAUCUGCUUGCAGAACCUGAGAGUGGGAGACCACACAUCAGUGCUGCCACAGGGCUGGUACCCCUACCACUGCCUGGCUCUAGAAGAAAUAAGAAGCAAGGUGGACAGAAUCUCAGUUUGUGCAAAUGAGGUAGAUCCACGGUGGUGAAAGCAGCUCUCACCUUACCUGUGCAUCUUGACUUAUGUUACUGCAACUUUAUGGCUGCCAAGACCCCAGAAAUGCUAGUUAACUUCACUGGGAAUGCUGAAGCAACUCCACAAAAAAUGAGCUGCAAAUCUAGAAGAGAAAAUAUUUUGGAAAGAAGAGCAAAACCCUAGACUGAGACAGAAGAGUCUCAGGUUGGUUGCAAGGAAGCAUCAUCAUUUUCCAGGCAAAGAAACUGUCUUGUUUAUUGGGUCUUCAAGCAGCUCAUUUUAAAUUCAAGGAGGAUCAGAACACUAGCAACCCAUUUCCUCCUGGUCCAGCUAUCAACUUGAGUUUCUCUGUGGCUGCUGCUACCACAGUGUCUGGCGCUGAAAGAGUCUCCUUUGCAAGUCAGCUCUGUGAGAAACAUCUCUGUCAUUCGACACAGAACAGAUCCCAGAUAUUGAAAAGCCUGGGGGCUCACACAACAGUUCAAUGAAAUCUCAGCAAGGAAAAUAAGUAAGUAUUUAC